UUCAUUUGGCAGAAAGCGCAUCAUCUUACCCUCGAGAUAAGUCCACACAAGGUGCCUUAGACAACACAGGAGGAGGUCUUCCAUAAGGAAGUCAUUCUGGCUCUCUCGGAAAACAUAAUGAAGAUCACCUUGCUUUCGGUCAGGCGGUGGCUGCGACUUAAUUCGCAGGGGUGCCUGAGCGUCUCUGCAGAGAGGCCAGGGUCACUACAGACAGAAGCUGAAAGUCGUUCACCACUCUUGUAGUGAGGAGAGGCCCCGCACAGGGUACAGGCACCUAGGAAAGCCGCAGAUUUUACAGCCCUGUGGAAGUUUGAGGGAGCGUGUCAAAGCCUGAGCUGAGAUCUGGUGGUUUGCAGACGAAAAAAGGGCUCCAGGAAGUGGGGAGUGGGGUGGGGAGCCAAGCAAGCUGCUGGCAUAUCCCCUUUUCAAUAAGCUGUGCGUGUUUGGAGCUCUGAAGGCAGUCUCUGAGAAGCCGGGGACCGGGACCAUGGGACUAUGAGCUACAUGUGUGUGAGAAUCAAAUAUGGGGGUACUUGUGUCUCGAGAGGGCUGAGAAAGCUUGCUAGGGGUAGUGUCAUUGCACCCGAAUCCUUGGGCGCGUUGUGGCCAUCAGAAGCCGUGCAGAGACUCCAGAUGGCGGGAGACACAGUUCCCGAAGCUCCUUGAGUGCAGGCGUCUCUGAGGGCGCUGACGGGACUGUCUGUUGACUCUAAUGUGGAAGGAAGAUGUGUACAUGAGCAGUGUGUUGCCUCAGAACCCCAGGAAAGGACCAGAAGGUGUGAGACGUCUGUGUCCUUAGCACAUGAAACGGGCUUCCACUGCAUCUCCUUGAAGGCGGAUGUCGUCCUGAAACCUCACACUGCUGCCCAAAGAAGUGUGGUGGGUGCGGCUGCUCCGCUCUCAAACAAGUAGACCGGCCAGUUCAGCUGAUCGUCUUCCUUGAGACGCGACAAGGACGUCAAGUAUCCCUCACCAAAUCGUUGCCAAGUCGUUCCAAAUGCCGUUUAAACCGGAUUUGCCCGUAUUGCUUCAUCACGUUCUUUCUUAAAGCAACACGACAUCUUGGGUGCAACGGAAACGAGAAACCAGUUUCUCGUAGCACCAGCAAUCUUUCCUGUCAAACACUUCAAACUAGGUUUCACUGCACGCAGACAAACCAGUUCAAUAAACUCCUUUAACACGUCUUGGUAGGGUGAUUCAUUUGGCAGAAAGAGCAUCAUCUUACCCUCGAGAUAAGUCCACACAAGGUGCCUUAGACAACACAGGAGGAGGUCUUCCAUAAGGAAGUCAUUCUGGCUCUCUCGCAAAACAUAAUGAAUAUCGCCUUGCUUUCGGUCAGGCGGUGGCUGCGACUUAAUUCGCAGGGGUGCCUGAGCGUCUCUGCAGAGAGGCCACGGUCACUACAGACAGAAGCUGAAAGUCGUUCACCGCUCUCGUAGUGAGGAGAGGCCCCGCACAGGGUGCAGGCACCCAGGGAAAGCCGCAGAUUUUAAAGCCCUGUGGAAGUUUGAGGGAGCGUGUCAAAGCCUGAGCUGAGAUCUGGUGGUUUGCAGACGAAAAAAGGGCUCCAGGAAGUGAGGAGUGGGGUGGGGAGCCAAGCCAGCUGCUGGCAUAUCCCUUUUUCAAUAAGCCGAGUGUGUUUGGAGCUCUGGAGGCAGUCUCUGAGAAGCCGGGGCCCGGGACCGUGGGACUAUGAGCUACGUGUGUGUGAGAAUCAAAUAUGGGGGUACUUGUGUCUCGAGAGGGCUGAGAAAGCUUGCUAGGGGUAGUGUCAUUGCACCCGAAUCCUUGGGCGCGUUGUGGCCAUCAGAAGCCGUGCAGAGACUCCAGAUGGCGGGAGACACAGUUCCCGAAGCUCCUUGAGUGCAGGCGUCUCUGAGGGCGCUGACGGGACUGUCUGUUGACUCUAAUGUGGAAGGAAGAUGUGUACAUGAGCAGUGUGUUGCCUCAGAACCCCAGGAAAGGACCAGAAGGUGUGAGACGUCUGUGUCCUUAGCACAUGAAACGGGCUUCCACUGCAUCUCCUUGAAGGCGGAUGUCGUCCUGAAACCUCACACUGCUGCCCAAAGAAGUGUGGUGGGUGCGGCUGCUCCGCUCUCAAACAAGUAGACCGGCCAGGUUGGUGGAAAGAAGGAAAGUUUGCUUUAUUUCAGACGCCGGCGGGCCGGGGGGAGGAUGCUGGACACCUGUCCAAAGGCCGACUGAUGGCUCCGCCACCAAAAGCCUUCCUGGCAACCAGUGGGGCAAGAGCUUUUCCAGACAGAAGUGCGAGGGGGCUGCUAUAUGCUGAAACAGCACCAUCAGCUGCUAUAUUUUCUCAAGAAAAUACAGGAAAAGAACAUUACUUAAGACUUGUUGCCUGACUAAACAAGGUUAAAACUAUCUACUUGCUAUUGAGUACAUUUGCACAGGGGCUGUCCCUCCUGACAUGUAACUAAAUUUGUCAGCACAAACUGGAUGGGGAAGCUACAGGGGGAAACGCACACACAAAACAGGUGUAGAAGUCAUGCCGUUUUCAAAUCCUUUCAAUUCUCGUUCAUAGUUCAGCUGAUCGUCUUCCUUGAGACGCGACAAGGACGUCAAGUAUCCCUCACCAAAUCGUUGCCAAGUCGUUCCAAAUGCCGUUUAAACCGGAUUUGUCCGUAUUGCUUCAUCACGUUCUUUCUUAAAGCAACACGACAUCUUGGGUGCAACGGAAACGAGAAACCAGUUUCUCGUAGCACCAGCAAUCUUUCCUGUCAAACACUUCAAACUAGGUUUCAUUGCACGCAGACAAACCAGUUCAAUAAACUCCUUUAACACGUCUUGGUAGGAUGAUUCAUUUGGCAGAAAGCGCAUCAUCUUACCCUCGAGAUAAGUCCACACAAGGUGCCUUAGACAACACAGGAGGAGGUCUUCCAUAAGGAAGUCAUUCUGGCUCUCUCGGAAAACAUAAUGAAGAUCACCUUGCUUUCGGUCAGGCGGUGGCUGCGACUUAAUUCGCAGGGGUGCCUGAGCGUCUCUGCAGAGAGGCCAGGGUCACUACAGACAGAAGCUGAAAGUCGUUCACCACUCUUGUAGUGAGGAGAGGCCCCGCACAGGGUACAGGCACCUAAGGAAAGCCGCAGAUUUUACAGCCCUGUGGAAGUUUGAGGGAGCGUGUCAAAGCCUGAGCUGAGAUCUGGUGGUUUGCAGACGAAAAAAGGGCUCCAGGAAGUGGGGAGUGGGGUGGGGAGCCAAGCAAGCUGCUGGCAUAUCCCCUUUUCAAUAAGCUGUGCGUGUUUGGAGCUCUGAAGGCAGUCUCUGAGAAGCCGGGGACCGGGACCAUGGGACUAUGAGCUACGUGUGUGUGAGAAUCAAAUAUGGGGGUACUUGUGUCUCGAGAGGGCUGAGAAAGCUUGCUAGGGGUAGUGUCAUUGCACCCGAAUCCUUGGGCGCGUUGUGGCCAUCAGAAGCCGUGCAGAGACUCCAGAUGGCGGGAGACACAGUUCCCGAAGCUCCUUGAGUGCAGGCGUCUCUGAGGGCGCUGACGGGACUGUCUGUUGACUCUAAUGUGGAAGGAAGAUGUGUACAUGAGCAGUGUGUUGCCUCAGAACCCCAGGAAAGGACCAGAAGGUGUGAGACGUCUGUGUCCUUAGCACAUGAAACGGGCUUCCACUGCAUCUCCUUGAAGGCGGAUGUCGUCCUGAAACCUCACACUGCUGCCCAAAGAAGUGUGGUGGGUGCGGCUGCUCCGCUCUCAAACAAGUAGACCGGCCAGUUCAGCUGAUCGUCUUCCUUGAGACGCGACAAGGACGUCAAGUAUCCCUCACCAAAUCGUUGCCAAGUCGUUCCAAAUGCCGUUUAAACCGGAUUUGCCCGUAUUGCUUCAUCACGUUCUUUCUUAAAGCAACACGACAUCUUGGGUGCAACGGAAACGAGAAACCAGUUUCUCGUAGCACCAGCAAUCUUUCCUGUCAAACACUUCAAACUAGGUUUCACUGCACGCAGACAAACCAGUUCAAUAAACUCCUUUAACACGUCUUGGUAGGGUGAUUCAUUUGGCAGAAAGAGCAUCAUCUUACCCUCGAGAUAAGUCCACACAAGGUGCCUUAGACAACACAGGAGGAGGUCUUCCAUAAGGAAGUCAUUCUGGCUCUCUCGCAAAACAUAAUGAAUAUCGCCUUGCUUUCGGUCAGGCGGUGGCUGCGACUUAAUUCGCAGGGGUGCCUGAGCGUCUCUGCAGAGAGGCCACGGUCACUACAGACAGAAGCUGAAAGUCGUUCACCGCUCUCGUAGUGAGGAGAGGCCCCGCACAGGGUACAGGCACCUAGGGAAAGCCGCAGAUUUUAAAGCCCUGUGGAAGUUUGAGGGAGCGUGUCAAAGCCUGAGCUGAGAUCUGGUGGUUUGCAGACGAAAAAAGGGCUCCAGGAAGUGAGGAGUGGGGUGGGGAGCCAAGCCAGCUGCUGGCAUAUCCCUUUUUCAAUAAGCCGAGUGUGUUUGGAGCUCUGGAGGCAGUCUCUGAGAAGCCGGGGCCCGGGACCGUGGGACUAUGAGCUACGUGUGUGUGAGAAUCAAAUAUGGGGGUACUUGUGUCUCGAGAGGGCUGAGAAAGCUUGCUAGGGGUAGUGUCAUUGCACCCGAAUCCUUGGGCGCGUUGGGGCCAUCAGAAGCCGUGCAGAGACUCCAGAUGGCGGGAGACACAGUUCCCGAAGCUCCUUGAGUGCAGGCGUCUCUGAGGGCGCUGACGGGACUGUCUGUUGACUCUAAUGUGGAAGGAAGAUGUGUACAUGAGCAGUGUGUUGCCUCAGAACCCCAGGAAAGGACCAGAAGGUGUGAGACGUCUGUGUCCUUAGCACAUGAAACGGGCUUCCACUGCAUCUCCUUGAAGGCGGAUGUCGUCCUGAAACCUCACACUGCUGCCCAAAGAAGUGUGGUGGGUGCGGCUGCUCCGCUCUCAAACAAGUAGACCGGCCAGGUUGGUGGAAAGAAGGAAAGUUUGCUUUAUUUCAGACGCCGGCGGGCCGGGGGGAGGAUGCUGGACACCUGUCCAAAGGCCGACUGAUGGCUCCCCCACCCAAAGCCUUCCUGGCAACCAGUGGGGCAAGAGCUUUUCCAGACAGAAGUGCGCAGGGGCUGCUAUAUGCUGAAACAGCACCAUCAGCUGCUAUAUUUUCUCAAGAAAAUACAGGAAAAGAACAUUACUUAAGACUUGUUGCCUGACUAAACAAGGUUAAAACUAUCUACUUGCUAUUGAGUACAUUUGCACAGGGGCUGUCCCUCCUGACGUGUAACUAAAUUUGUCAGCACAAACUGGAUGGGGAAGCUACAGGGGGAAACGCACACACAAAACAGGUGUAGAAGUCAUGCCGUUUUCAAAUCCUUUCAAUUCUCGUUCAUAGUUCAGCUGAUCGUCUUCCUUGAGACGCGACAAGGACGUCAAGUAUCCCUCACCAAAUCGUUGCCAAGUCGUUCCAAAUGCCGUUUAAACCGGAUUUGUCCGUAUUGCUUCAUCACGUUCUUUCUUAAAGCAACACGACAUCUUGGGUGCAACGGAAACGAGAAACCAGUUUCUCGUAGCACCAGCAAUCUUUCCUGUCAAACAGUUCAAACUAGGUUUCACUGCACGCAGACAAACCAGUUCAAUAAACUCCUUUAACACGUCUUGGUAGGGUGAUUCAUUUGGCAGAAAGAGCAUCAUCUUACCCUCGAGAUAAGUCCACACAAGGUGCCUUAGACAGCACAGGAGGAGGUCUUGCAUAAAGGAAGUCGUUCUGGCUCUCUCGGAAAACAUAAUGAAUAUCGCCUUGCUUUCGGUCAGGCGUUGGCUGCGACUUAAUUCGCAGGGGUGCCUGAGCGUCUCUGCAGAGAGGCCCGGGUCACUACAGACAGAAGCUGAAAGUCGUUCACCGCUCUCGUAGUGAGGAGAGGCCCCGCACAGGGUGCAGGCACCCAGGGAAAGCCGCAGGUUUUAAAGCCCUGUGGAAGUUUGAGGGGGCGUGUCAAAGCCUGAGCUGAGAUCUGGUGGUUUGCAGACAAAAAAAGGGCUCCAGGAAGUGGGGAGUUGGGGGGGGGGGAGCCAAGCCAGCUGCUGGCAUAUCACUUUUUCCAUAAGCCGAGUGUGUUUGGAGCUCUGGAGGCAUUCUCUGAGAAGCCGGGGACCGGGACCGUGGGACUAUGAGCUACAUGUGUGUGAGAAUCAAAUAUGGGGGUACUUGUGUCUCGAGAGGGCUGAGAAAGCUUGCUAGGGGUAGUGUCAUUGCACCCGAAUCCUUGGGCGCGUUGGGGCCAUCAGAAGCCGUGCAGAGACUCCAGAUGGCGGGAGACACAGUUCCCGAAGCUCCUUGAGUGCAGACAUCUCUGAGGGCGCUGACGGGACUGUCUGUUGACUCUAAUGUGGAAGGAAGAUGUGUACAUGAGCAGUGUGUUGCCUCAGAACCCCAGGAAAGGACCAGAAGGUGUGAGACGUCUGUGUCCUUAGCACAUGAAACGGGCUUCCACUGCAUCUCCUUGAAGGCGGAUGUCGUCCUGAAACCUCACACUGCUGCCCAAAGAAGUGUGGUGGGUGCGGCUGCUCCGCUCUCAAACAAGUAGACUGGCCAGGUUGGUGGAAAGAAGGAAAGUUUGCUUUAUUUCAGACGCCGGCGGGCCGGGGGGAGGAUGCUGGACACCUGUCCAAAGGCCGACUGACCGCUCCCCCACCCAAAGCCUUCCUGGCAACCAGUGGGGCAAGAGCUUUUCCAGACAGAAGUGCGAGGGGGCUGCUAUAUGCUGAAACAGCACCAUCAGCUGCUAUAUUUUCUCAAGAAAAUACAGGAAAAGAACAUUACUUAAGACGUGUUGCCUGACUAAACAAGGUUAAAACUAUCUACUUGCUAUUGAGUACUUUUGCACAGGGGCUGUCCCUCCUGACGUAUAACUAAAUUUGUCAGCACAAACUGGAUGGGGAAGCUACAGGGGGAAACACACACACAAAACAGGUGUAGAAGUCAUGCCGUUUUCAAAUCCUUUCAAUUCUCGUUCAUAGUUCAGCUGAUCGGCUUCCUUGAGACGCGACAAGGACGUCAAGUAUCCCUCACCAAAUCGUUGCCAAGUCGUUCCAAAUGCCGUUUAAACCGGAUUUGUCCGUAUUGCUUCAUCACGUUCUUUCUUAAAGCAACACGACAUCUUGGGUGCAACGGAAACGAGAAACCAGUUUCUCGUAGCACCAGCAAUCUUUCCUGUCAAACACUUCAAACUAGGUUUCAUUGCACGCAGACAAACCAGUUCAAUAAACUCCUUUAACACGUCUUGGUAGGAUGAUUCAUUUGGCAGAAAGCGCAUCAUCUUACCCUCGAGAUAAGUCCACACAAGGUGCCUUAGACAACACAGGAGGAGGUCUUCCAUAAGGAAGUCAUUCUGGCUCUCUCGGAAAACAUAAUGAAGAUCACCUUGCUUUCGGUCAGGCGGUGGCUGCGACUUAAUUCGCAGGGGUGCCUGAGCGUCUCUGCAGAGAGGCCAGGGUCACUACAGACAGAAGCUGAAAGUCGUUCACCACUCUUGUAGUGAGGAGAGGCCCCGCACAGGGUACAGGCACCUAAGGAAAGCCGCAGAUUUUACAGCCCUGUGGAAGUUUGAGGGAGCGUGUCAAAGCCUGAGCUGAGAUCUGGUGGUUUGCAGACGAAAAAAGGGCUCCAGGAAGUGGGGAGUGGGGUGGGGAGCCAAGCAAGCUGCUGGCAUAUCCCCUUUUCAAUAAGCUGUGCGUGUUUGGAGCUCUGAAGGCAGUCUCUGAGAAGCCGGGGACCGGGACCAUGGGACUAUGAGCUACGUGUGUGUGAGAAUCAAAUAUGGGGGUACUUGUGUCUCGAGAGGGCUGAGAAAGCUUGCUAGGGGUAGUGUCAUUGCACCCGAAUCCUUGGGCGCGUUGUGGCCAUCAGAAGCCGUGCAGAGACUCCAGAUGGCGGGAGACACAGUUCCCGAAGCUCCUUGAGUGCAGGCGUCUCUGAGGGCGCUGACGGGACUGUCUGUUGACUCUAAUGUGGAAGGAAGAUGUGUACAUGAGCAGUGUGUUGCCUCAGAACCCCAGGAAAGGACCAGAAGGUGUGAGAUGUCUGUGUCCUUAGCACAUGAAACGGGCUUCCACUGCAUCUCCUUGAAGGCGGAUGUCGUCCUGAAACCUCACACUGCUGCCCAAAGAAGUGUGGUGGGUGCGGCUGCUCCGCUCUCAAACAAGUAGACCGGCCAGGUUGGUGGAAAGAAGGAAAGUUUGCUUUAUUUCAGACGCCGGCGGGCCGGGGGGAGGAUGCUGGACACCUGUCCAAAGGCCGACUGACCGCUCCCCCAUCAAAGCCUUCCUGGCAACCACUGGGGCAAGAGCUUUUCCAGACAGAAGUGCGCAGGGGCUGCUAUAUGCUGAAACAGCACCGUCAGCUGCUAUAUUUUCUCAAGAAAAUACAGGAAAAGAACAUUACUUAAGACUUGUUGCCUGACUAAACAAGGUUAAAACUAUCUACUUGCUAUUGAGUACUUUUGCACAGGGGCUGUCCCUCCUGACGUGUAACUAAAUUUGUCAGCACAAACUGGAUGGGGAAGCUACAGGGGGAAACGCACACACAAAACAGGUGUAGAAGUCAUGCCGUUUUCAAAUCCUUUCAAUUCUCGUUCAUAGUUCAGCUGAUCGUCUUCCUUGAGACGCGACAAGGACGUCAAGUAUCCCUCACCAAAUCGUUGCCAAGUCGUUCCAAAUGCCGUUUAAACCGGAUUUGCCCGUAUUGCUUCAUCACGUUCUUUCUUAAAGCAACACGACAUCUUGGGUGCAACGGAAACGAGAAACCAGUUUCUCGUAGCACCAGCAAUCUUUCCUGUCAAACACUUCAAACUAGGUUUCACUGCACGCAGACAAACCAGUUCAAUAAACUCCUUUAACACGUCUUGGUAGGGUGAUUCAUUUGGCAGAAAGAGCAUCAUCUUACCCUCGAGAUAAGUCCACACAAGGUGCCUUAGACAACACAGGAGGAGGUCUUCCAUAAGGAAGUCAUUCUGGCUCUCUCGCAAAACAUAAUGAAUAUCGCCUUGCUUUCGGUCAGGCGGUGGCUGCGACUUAAUUCGCAGGGGUGCCUGAGCGUCUCUGCAGAGAGGCCACGGUCACUACAGACAGAAGCUGAAAGUCGUUCACCGCUCUCGUAGUGAGGAGAGGCCCCGCACAGGGUACAGGCACCUAGGGAAAGCCGCAGAUUUUAAAGCCCUGUGGAAGUUUGAGGGAGCGUGUCAAAGCCUGAGCUGAGAUCUGGUGGUUUGCAGACGAAAAAAGGGCUCCAGGAAGUGAGGAGUGGGGUGGGGAGCCAAGCCAGCUGCUGGCAUAUCCCUUUUUCAAUAAGCCGAGUGUGUUUGGAGCUCUGGAGGCAGUCUCUGAGAAGCCGGGGCCCGGGACCGUGGGACUAUGAGCUACGUGUGUGUGAGAAUCAAAUAUGGGGGUACUUGUGUCUCGAGAGGGCUGAGAAAGCUUGCUAGGGGUAGUGUCAUUGCACCCGAAUCCUUGGGCGCGUUGGGGCCAUCAGAAGCCGUGCAGAGACUCCAGAUGGCGGGAGACACAGUUCCCGAAGCUCCUUGAGUGCAGGCGUCUCUGAGGGCGCUGACGGGACUGUCUGUUGACUCUAAUGUGGAAGGAAGAUGUGUACAUGAGCAGUGUGUUGCCUCAGAACCCCAGGAAAGGACCAGAAGGUGUGAGACGUCUGUGUCCUUAGCACAUGAAACGGGCUUCCACUGCAUCUCCUUGAAGGCGGAUGUCGUCCUGAAACCUCACACUGCUGCCCAAAGAAGUGUGGUGGGUGCGGCUGCUCCGCUCUCAAACAAGUAGACCGGCCAGGUUGGUGGAAAGAAGGAAAGUUUGCUUUAUUUCAGACGCCGGCGGGCCGGGGGGAGGAUGCUGGACACCUGUCCAAAGGCCGACUGAUGGCUCCCCCACCCAAAGCCUUCCUGGCAACCAGUGGGGCAAGAGCUUUUCCAGACAGAAGUGCGCAGGGGCUGCUAUAUGCUGAAACAGCACCAUCAGCUGCUAUAUUUUCUCAAGAAAAUACAGGAAAAGAACAUUACUUAAGACUUGUUGCCUGACUAAACAAGGUUAAAACUAUCUACUUGCUAUUGAGUACAUUUGCACAGGGGCUGUCCCUCCUGACGUGUAACUAAAUUUGUCAGCACAAACUGGAUGGGGAAGCUACAGGGGGAAACGCACACACAAAACAGGUGUAGAAGUCAUGCCGUUUUCAAAUCCUUUCAAUUCUCGUUCAUAGUUCAGCUGAUCGUCUUCCUUGAGACGCGACAAGGACGUCAAGUAUCCCUCACCAAAUCGUUGCCAAGUCGUUCCAAAUGCCGUUUAAACCGGAUUUGUCCGUAUUGCUUCAUCACGUUCUUUCUUAAAGCAACACGACAUCUUGGGUGCAACGGAAACGAGAAACCAGUUUCUCGUAGCACCAGCAAUCUUUCCUGUCAAACAGUUCAAACUAGGUUUCACUGCACGCAGACAAACCAGUUCAAUAAACUCCUUUAACACGUCUUGGUAGGGUGAUUCAUUUGGCAGAAAGAGCAUCAUCUUACCCUCGAGAUAAGUCCACACAAGGUGCCUUAGACAGCACAGGAGGAGGUCUUGCAUAAAGGAAGUCGUUCUGGCUCUCUCGGAAAACAUAAUGAAUAUCGCCUUGCUUUCGGUCAGGCGUUGGCUGCGACUUAAUUCGCAGGGGUGCCUGAGCGUCUCUGCAGAGAGGCCCGGGUCACUACAGACAGAAGCUGAAAGUCGUUCACCGCUCUCGUAGUGAGGAGAGGCCCCGCACAGGGUGCAGGCACCCAGGGAAAGCCGCAGGUUUUAAAGCCCUGUGGAAGUUUGAGGGGGCGUGUCAAAGCCUGAGCUGAGAUCUGGUGGUUUGCAGACAAAAAAAGGGCUCCAGGAAGUGGGGAGUGGGGGGGGGGGGGAGCCAAGCCAGCUGCUGGCAUAUCACUUUUUCCAUAAGCCGAGUGUGUUUGGAGCUCUGGAGGCAUUCUCUGAGAAGCCGGGGACCGGGACCGUGGGACUAUGAGCUACAUGUGUGUGAGAAUCAAAUAUGGGGGUACUUGUGUCUCGAGAGGGCUGAGAAAGCUUGCUAGGGGUAGUGUCAUUGCACCCGAAUCCUUGGGCGCGUUGGGGCCAUCAGAAGCCGUGCAGAGACUCCAGAUGGCGGGAGACACAGUUCCCGAAGCUCCUUGAGUGCAGACAUCUCUGAGGGCGCUGACGGGACUGUCUGUUGACUCUAAUGUGGAAGGAAGAUGUGUACAUGAGCAGUGUGUUGCCUCAGAACCCCAGGAAAGGACCAGAAGGUGUGAGACGUCUGUGUCCUUAGCACAUGAAACGGGCUUCCACUGCAUCUCCUUGAAGGCGGAUGUCGUCCUGAAACCUCACACUGCUGCCCAAAGAAGUGUGGUGGGUGCGGCUGCUCCGCUCUCAAACAAGUAGACUGGCCAGGUUGGUGGAAAGAAGGAAAGUUUGCUUUAUUUCAGACGCCGGCGGGCCGGGGGGAGGAUGCUGGACACCUGUCCAAAGGCCGACUGACCGCUCCCCCACCCAAAGCCUUCCUGGCAACCAGUGGGGCAAGAGCUUUUCCAGACAGAAGUGCGAGGGGGCUGCUAUAUGCUGAAACAGCACCAUCAGCUGCUAUAUUUUCUCAAGAAAAUACAGGAAAAGAACAUUACUUAAGACGUGUUGCCUGACUAAACAAGGUUAAAACUAUCUACUUGCUAUUGAGUACUUUUGCACAGGGGCUGUCCCUCCUGACGUAUAACUAAAUUUGUCAGCACAAACUGGAUGGGGAAGCUACAGGGGGAAACACACACACAAAACAGGUGUAGAAGUCAUGCCGUUUUCAAAUCCUUUCAAUUCUCGUUCAUAGUUCAGCUGAUCGGCUUCCUUGAGACGCGACAAGGACGUCAAGUAUCCCUCACCAAAUCGUUGCCAAGUCGUUCCAAAUGCCGUUUAAACCGGAUUUGUCCGUAUUGCUUCAUCACGUUCUUUCUUAAAGCAACACGACAUCUUGGGUGCAACGGAAACGAGAAACCAGUUUCUCGUAGCACCAGCAAUCUUUCCUGUCAAACACUUCAAACUAGGUUUCAUUGCACGCAGACAAACCAGUUCAAUAAACUCCUUUAACACGUCUUGGUAGGAUGAUUCAUUUGGCAGAAAGCGCAUCAUCUUACCCUCGAGAUAAGUCCACACAAGGUGCCUUAGACAACACAGGAGGAGGUCUUCCAUAAGGAAGUCAUUCUGGCUCUCUCGGAAAACAUAAUGAAGAUCACCUUGCUUUCGGUCAGGCGGUGGCUGCGACUUAAUUCGCAGGGGUGCCUGAGCGUCUCUGCAGAGAGGCCAGGGUCACUACAGACAGAAGCUGAAAGUCGUUCACCACUCUUGUAGUGAGGAGAGGCCCCGCACAGGGUACAGGCACCUAAGGAAAGCCGCAGAUUUUACAGCCCUGUGGAAGUUUGAGGGAGCGUGUCAAAGCCUGAGCUGAGAUCUGGUGGUUUGCAGACGAAAAAAGGGCUCCAGGAAGUGGGGAGUGGGGUGGGGAGCCAAGCAAGCUGCUGGCAUAUCCCCUUUUCAAUAAGCUGUGCGUGUUUGGAGCUCUGAAGGCAGUCUCUGAGAAGCCGGGGACCGGGACCGUGCUACUAUGAGCUACGUGUGUGUGAGAAUCAAAUAUGGGGGUACUUGUGUCUCAAGAAGGCUGAGAAAGCUUGCUAGGCGUAGUGUCAUUGCACCCGAAUCCUUGGGCGCGUUGUGGCCAUCAGAAGCCGUGCAGAGACUCCAGAUGGCGGGAGACACAGUUCCCGAAGCUCCUUGAGUGCAGGCGUCUCUGAGGGCGCUGACGGGACUGUCUGUUGACUCUAAUGUGGAAAGAAGAUGUGUACAUGAGCAGUGUGUUGCCUCAGAACCCCAGGAAAGGACCAGAAGGUGUGAGACAUCUGUGUCCUUAGCACAUGAAACGGGCUUCCACUGCAUCUCCUUGAAGGCGGAUGUCGUCCUGAAACCUCACACUGCUGCCCAAAGAAGUGUGGUGGGUGCGGCUGCUCCGCUCUCAAACAAGUAGACCGGCCAGCCCAUACCAGCUUGAAUUUUGCUGCUCCAAGGAAUUAUUUUGAGGAAGGAGAAAGACAAUGUCUGGGACAUCGAGACAUCUCGACCAGCAUCUGGAACACACUUUUUCUGGAAUAUGAGCUGCCUUGGAGAACAGAUGAUAAAGCCCAGCCCUUCCCCUCAAGCUACUAAUGAUUGACAGCAAUUGAAUAAAUGCCCUCUAAUCUGAAACCUCUGCCAGAUGGAAGAAGUGAACUAUGCCGCCCACAAGCAGGAAGACCUGAGACCGGUGGAACCACAAGGGUGAUGCUGCUGCUCCCCAAGACCUCAUCAUGGACCCAACAGAAGAGCGUCCUCAAGUUGAUCAGGCUCUGCUCCUUGAACAAUAUAAGACUCCUCAAACCCCUCCAGGACCAGACACAUGGCCUUUCAUUUAUUUUAAUAUUUUAUUUAUUUAUCUAUUUAUUUGGCUGCGUUGGUUCUGAUUUGCAGAUGCGGGAUAGUCCCUACCUCUGGUGGGAUCUUGCUUGUAGCGCAAAGACUCAUCAGCUGUGGGGCAAGGGCUCAGCUGCUCCUGGACUGUGAGAUCUUAGAUUCCCCACCAGGGAUCGAACCCACGUCCACUGCAUUUCAAGGUGGACUCUAAACCACUGGACCCCCAGGGAAGUCCUAGGACACAGUCUUGAGGGCAAUUUGCCUGCUUGGUCCCCCCUGUGUGGCUAAGCAGUAAAGCUAGUUUUUCCAUUUCACUUAAAUCUCUCUCUCAGAUGUAAUCUGGCCCCAGUACACAGAGGCCCAAUUUUGGCAAGGAGAUCUGGAGGGAAACCAGGAGCAAUUGGAAGAACCGGAUCCUGGGGGCAGGAGGGCUGAGGGACCUGAGUCCCAGC